UACAGAGGUCUCAAGCGUUGUCCGGAAUUAUUGGGCGUAAAGGGCGCGUAGGCGGCCGACCAAGUCGGGUGUGAAAUCCCUCGGCUCAACCGAGGAACUGCAUUCGAUACUGGUUGGCUAGAGUCCGGGAGGGGAUGGUGGAAUUCCCAGUGUAGCGGUGAAAUGCGUAGAUAUUGGGAAGAACACCGGUGGCGAAGGCGGCCAUCUGGACCGGCACUGACGCUGAGGCGCGAAAGCCAGGGGAGCGGAAUGGGA
rnacentral:rRNA from 1 species